GAUGAACGCUAGCGGCAGGCUUAACACAUGCAAGUCGAGGGGCAGCAUAUUUUGUAGUAAUACAAGAUGAUGGCGACCGGCGCACGGGUGCGUAACGCGUAUGCAACCUACCAUAUACAGGGGGAUAAACUUUCGAAAGGGAGCCUAAUACCCCAUAGUAUUAUUUUAAGGCAUCUUGCAAUAAUUAAAGAUUAAUUGGUAUAUGAUGGGCAUGCGUGUCAUUAGCUAGUUGGUAAGGUAACGGCUUACCAAGGCGACGAUGACUAGGGGUUCUGAGAGGAAGAUCCCCCACACUGGUACUGAGACACGGACCAGACUCCUACGGGAGGCAGCAGUGAGGAAUAUUGGUCAAUGGGCGAGAGCCUGAACCAGCCAUGCCGCGUGCAGGAAGACGGCCCUAUGGGUUGUAAACUGCUUUUAUGUGAGGAUAAGCCUAUUCUUGCGAGAGUAGCUGAAGGUAUCACAUGAAUAAGGAUCGGCUAACUCCGUGCCAGCCGCCGUCGUAA
rnacentral:rRNA from 1 species